UCGCGGCUUAUCACCGGCAGUCUCCUUAGAGUGCCCAACUAAAUGAUGGCAACUAAGGGCGAGGGUUGCGCUCGUUGCGGGACUUAACCCAACAUCUCACGACACGAGCUGACGACAGCCAUGCAGCACCUGUCUCCGGUCCAGCCGAACUGAAGGGAUCGAUCUCUCGUUCCCGCGACCGGGAUGUCAAAGGCUGGUAAGGUGGGGAUGACGUCGAAUACGUAA
rnacentral:misc_RNA from 1 species